CCUAUCACGUAGUACACUGCUUCCCCUAAAUCAACCUAACAACCCAGCAAAACAGGCAACUCCUUUCAGAAAUGAGCUGAUCACGAGUUGACAAUAAUACAUUUAAAAAACCUGAUCUCGCGUUAAUUCCAGCUGGAAAUUGAAACUACAACAAAUGCCCAGGUUUCUUUUCUAAAACUGUUAACCCCCCAAGAGGUGAGGUAGGCAGUUUGUUCUGUGUAUCAGCAGUAGUGGAGUUACUUGGGAGGGGGAAGGCAGCAAAUCAGGCAAGUCAUUAUCUUAAGAAAGCAUGCGGGCGUAGUUCAGGGGUCCUGACCCACAGCUGUGGCUCUGGGUCCGCUCUGCCACGCACUCCACACACGCCAGGGUCGGACCCAACAGCGGGAUGAGGGCUCCUGACCGCUGCCUGGCAUGGAGAGAGGGGUGCCAUGCACGGCUCCGGCCGGAGAGUGAGUGGCAUCCCACGGCCAGCACACAAAAGCUCCGGGUGUCUUCUUCAGCCUUCCGCCGGGGACACUCACUGCAGCCGCUUCAACACGAAACGCUAGGCUCAGAAGAUGAAGCUGAAAAAACAGCUGUGGAGGGUAAGCCCCUAGCCCCUAAGUCUGUCAUUUCUGAAAGGUCACCGGGCUCUGCAAGGAACCCAGACUGGAAGAGGCAGGAGACCUGUUCACUCAUUCUUCCACUCCCCCAGGGCAUACUGAGCACUUACUGGGGGCCGAGCACUGAUAGGGGGAUGGAAGCAGAGCCAGGCAAGCCAAGUCCGGAUUCCAUCCCAAAUUGGAGGAAGCUGGUUCUUAAAGCCUCUGCUCUGUCAUUUUAAAACUGUAUGAAGUUGACCUCUCUGAAGCUUUGUCCCUCAUUAGUAAAUGACACACAAAUUGGCACUGGUGGGAGAACUGAGCAGCAAAACAGCCUGAGGCCAGUGCCAGCGAGUGGACGAUGCUGUUAACCACAGGAGGAACGCCAAGCUCAAGGUUAAGGGUCUCGGACCAGGUGUUAGGUGGAAAGUCCAACACCUACUGGGGCAGUCAGCAGAGAAGCCGGUUCGGCGGCGAAACCAGAGACGGCUGCCUGGAGGAGGUGAUCUGAGCUUAACUUUAAAGGAAAAGAGCCGGCGAGGUUAUGGCGAAUCUGCGGCAUUCAACAUGGCGGAUGGAGUCUUCGCCCUCCUCUUCACGGGGCGCUGACGCCGGCGUAGCGUACGUCAGCCUCGGAUGACCCUCCCCCAGCGCCGAGCGCGUCUAUGCUGGGCGGUCUAGUGCGCAUGUUCCGGUCCGGCGGCCGCGCUUUGCGUCCCGCUCCGCGGGUUCCAGCGCUCCGCUUUUUGAGCCACUCCUGGGACGGUGCUAACGAGAGGCCUGGAAUCCGGAUCGCAGGAUUGGGAGUCUUCCCAUUUCUGCCGGGAGCCAGCAGAUCUACCUGCCUGCGCGUCCUUGGACUCACCUGACGUGGAGCCACUGGGCUAGACGUGCAAGAAUUCUGGGUUCGUGUCCCAGUUCUGCCCUUUACUAACCAAUUUGGGGCAGCGAUUUAACUUUACUUGGGCUCAGUUUACUGAUUUGUCAGUCGGGGUGAUUACAGCCUGCCUCCCUUUCGAGGGUUGCUGUGUUUCCCCGAAGCGGGAUGCUCUCCGCUGGGGGCACCCGGCUCGAUGUAGUCCGGUUCGUACAGCCAGAAUUCAGCAGCCUGGAGCCAUGUGGAGAAAGCGCCUUCCGUCCUGACUGUCCUGCAGAAAGUCUCAGAUGCGUGUGAGCACGCCUCUAGAACGCUCGCUCAUUUUCCUGAGUCUGGCGCACAGCCUUCUUUCUGCAGGCAGCCUGUCUGCUUUAGAUGUCAUGACCUUGUUUCCAGUUUUUGUUGUGAAGGGGAUCCGCUCUGCCACUUCCUUUAGAUCUCAGCUCUAGUGACCUCUCCAAGGGGGCCCUCCCGCACCACCGCAUCCAAAGUAACCCUCCUAAGUACCUUAAUGUUUUCUGCACCGUUAUCUGUUAGCGCCUGACCUGAAUUUAUCUCCCAUCUGUCUUGGUCACCCCUUUGGCCCCAGAAACUAGAAAUGAGCCUGACAGUUACCUAUUGAAUAAAUUAAUGAGUUUUGUGUUGCUUGUA